UCCCUCUUAGCUCAGUCAGCAGAGAAUCUGUCUGCAAUGCAGGAGACCUGGGUUUGAUUCCUGGAUCAGGAA
rnacentral:tRNA from 1 species